AACGAACGCUGGCGGCAGGCUUAACACAUGCAAGUCGAGCGCCCCGCAAGGGGAGCGGCAGACGGGUGAGUAACGCGUGGGAAUCUACCCAUCUCUACGGAAUAACGCAUGGAAACGUGUGCUAAUACCGUAUACGUCCUUCGGGAGAAAGAUUUAUCGGAGAUGGAUGAGCCCGCGUUGGAUUAGCUAGUUGGUGGGGUAAAGGCCUACCAAGGCGACGAUCCAUAGCUGGUCUGAGAGGAUGAUCAGCCACACUGGGACUGAGACACGGCCCAGGCUCCUACGGGAGGCAGCAGAGGGGAAUAUUGGACAAUGGGCGCAAGCCUGAUCCAGCCAUGCCGCGUGAGUGAUGAAGGCCCUAGGGUUGUAAAGCUCUUUCGCCGGUGAAGAUAAUGACGGUAACCGGAGAAGAAGCCCCGGCUAACUUCGUGCCAGCCGCCGCGGUAACAC
rnacentral:rRNA from 1 species